rnacentral:rRNA from 1 species
AUGGCCCUUUUCUUUAGUGUGGUGCAAAAGAUAGGUAAUUCUGCUUACAAGCUCCAUUUUCCUAUUGAUGUCAAAAUACGCCAAGUGUUUCUUGUCAGUCAAUUGAAAAAGCACAUAGGAACAAAAUCAAUUCCCAGCCCACACCUUCCUAUGGUUAAUGAAGAUGGCUCUGUCAAAAUAGAACCAACACCGGUGUUGGAAGUCAGCCAAGUUCCAAGGCAUAACCUGCUAGUGGUACAAUGGCUAAUACAGUGGGAAAAUUUGGCACCAGAAGAUGCCAGCUGGGAAGAUGCAGAGUUCAUCAAGCACGCGCUUCCAGUGUUCUUUAAAUCUACUACACAGGUGUGGAAGUCCAGUUCAUCAACACCGUGA